CUUCCCGUUAUCCAACGAAUCUUCGCCGUCCGAUUCGUUGACCAAACCCAUCUUGAAUCUCCUGACAUCUUCCACAGCAGCGUUCCUGAACAGCCCAAUAUCGACGGCUCCGGCCACCAUGUUAUAACCACGUUCCCGGAUCGCGGCAGGUCCGUCGUGUGGCAUGGCGAACCCUGACAAGUAGGCCCCGCCUUUCGCUGGAUCUGACGUCAGCACCGCCUUCUCCGCUCUCCUCAUCAUCUCUCUCACUUUCUUAUGCCCCGGGUCCCACAAGUAUCCUAUGCUCGCGCUCAGAUCCAACGGUCCCAUCUGCACGCAGUCAACACCAUCGACGGCUGCGAUCUCAUCAGCUUUCUUCACUCCUUCGGCUGACUCCACCUGGCACAUGAUGAGUAACUCGUCAGCGUAAUUACCUAAAUACCCUUCGUCGAUUCCGUACUUGGACGCUCGCACCACCGUGUGCGCCGAACCACGGAUCCCCUCAGGAGGAAACCGGCAGUACGACACCGCUUUGGUCGCGUCCUUGCGAGAUUCGAUCAUCGGAAACAUGAUUCCCUGUGGGCCUAGAUCUAAGGCCUUUUUGGCCCAUGUAGGACAGUUCUCCGGUAAGCGAAGAACGGCGGCUACACCGGCGGCGUUAAGAGCUCGGAUGCAGUCUAGAGCUUCCGGUAUGCCGCCGUGGCCGUGUUCCAUGUCAACGACGACGUAAUCGUAGCCGGAGUGAGCAGCGAUCUCGGCUAGAGUCGGCGAAAAGGAGAGCAAGAACAUGCCGUAGAGAGUUUCGCCUCCUUGGAGGCGGGAUUUCAAUGAGGUUUUGGAUCGGGUGGCGAUUCCCUCCACGGUGGGAGAAGUGAUGGCGGCGGCGGGGGAGUGAUCAGCGGGAGAUGAAGAGAAUCGGAUUGGAGUUAGGGUUUUCCUGGAAAAUGUAACCGUGGAUCUGACGGAGUUGGAAUUUGAAGGUGAUAGCUUCCCGAUGAUCGGAGAAGAGGAGUUAAAGAGAUGUGUCGAAUCUGUGUUGACUGUGGAGAAGAUUGAAGCGGUGGCCAUGGCGGUGUAUGACCUGGGAAGUAUCGACAAUUUUGCCUUUUGCUUAAUUCAAGUGUUUGGUAGUGAUUACUCGUACUGACCAAAUACCUAGUUAGCUUCAACUGUUUAUCAUCGUUCCCGAGCCAGAUCAAUGAACUUCAUGCUGUUUUCUCUUCGUUCAAAAACGGCACAAUGUGUCACUCGCACCUAAUCAGAUGCCACUAAAAUUAAGGAUAAUUCAAGCUUUUCUUCAAAACAAAGCACUGGUAUCUGAAUAUCUUACUUGAUAUCAACAAAAUUACCUAACGAGAUUAAAAAUAUUAAAAGAAAAAUCCAUCUAGGGUGAUGUCUUGACAAGGAAACUGAAAACAUACAAUCAUGCCUUGUACGAGAAAGAGGAGACUUUCUGCUAUACCAUGAAGCUAUAAGAUUCUUAUCAAACACAACACUGUUGGAUAAGCUUGGAUAAAGCUUGUGAUAUAAGUUUCCUUUUCUUUUAAUGAAGUUGUGUUUAUCUUAAUAGGAUUAGGAAACUUAAUGUUAGUUGAAAUAGGAAUUGAUAAAGUCCUAUAUAUAUGGACGCAUAUUGAUAUGCGAAUGUGUGUGACUUGAGACUUGUGAUUUUGAGCUUUUGAUUGAGUGAAUAAGAGAAGGACUUCUUAUUAAUCUUGUUGUUCUAUAUUUGGUAUCAGAGCAAUCAAAGAUUCUUUGAAAAAAAUUAACAAACGAACAUGGCAGAUGUUAAAGAUGGAAUCGUAUCACCCAAGGAAGCCGGACCAACAACCAUCAAAUACCCUAUGCUCACUACCACAAACUAUACUGUCUGGGCUAUGCGAAUGAAAAUUGCACUCAAGGUUAGCGAAGUUUGGGAAGCAAUAGACCCCGGAACCAAGGACGAGAAGAAGAACAAUAUGGCAACUGCACUUUUGUUUCAAUCGAUACCCGAAGGUUUGAUCAUGCAAGUCGGCGACCUAGACACCGCGAAAGCAAUAUGGGAGGCUAUAAAGGCUAGACAUGUAGGAGCUGAGCGGGUAAAAGAAGCUAGACUUCAAACCCUAAUGACUGAAUUUGAUAGACUCAAGAUGAAAGAUGAAGAUACAAUCGAUGUGUUUGCCGGAAAGCUAUCUGAAAUCUCCUCCAAAUCUGCCUCUUUAGGAGAAACGAUAGAAGAACCAAAGCUGGUACGGGAUCGCGGCAGGUCCGUCGUGUGGCAUGGCGAACCCUGACAAGUAGGCCCCGCCUUUCGCUGGAUCUGACGUCAGCACCGCCUUCUCCGCUCUCCUCAUCAUCUCUCUCACUUUCUUAUGCCCCGGGUCCCACAAGUAUCCUAUGCUCGCGCUCAGAUCCA
rnacentral:lncRNA from 1 species